rnacentral:misc_RNA from 1 species
GAAGAUGGUCCAAAUGGUCAAAGACGGGAACGGGUCUUUACAGUUACUAUUAGAUAUGCUGCUCGUGCUUACCUUCACCAGCUAGAAUUGUUUCUAACUGGGAGGCAGUCUGAUGCUCCCCAAGAUGCACUUCAAGUUCUUGACAUUGUUCUUCGUGAAUUGCCAACUUCCAGAUAUUGCCCGGUUGCGCGGUCCUUUUAUUCGCCUGAACUUGGAACAAGGCAGUCUCUCGGAGGGGGGGUAGAAAGCUGGAGAGGGUUUUAUCAAAGCCUUCGGCCAACCCAAAUGGGGUUAUCUUUGAAUAUUGAUAUGUCUUCAUGUGCUUUUAUCGAACCACUGCAAGUGACCGACUUUGUUGCUCAGCUAUUAAACCGAUCAAUCCAUGCUAGACCAUUGUCGGAUACUGAUCGUGUUACGAUUAAAAAGGCUCUCAGAGGUAUA